AUGGGAACGCGAAGAACCUUACCUACUCUUGACAUCCAGAGAACUUAGCAGAGAUGCUUUGGUGCCUUCGGGAACUCUGAGACAGGUGCUGCAUGGCUGCCGUCAGCUCGUGUUGUGAAAUGUUGGGUUAAGUCCCGCAACGAGCGCAACCCUUAUCCUUUGUUGCCAGCGGUUAGGCCGGGAACUCAAAGGAGACUGCCAGUGAUAAACUGGAGGAAGGUGGGGAUGGCGUCAAGUCAUCAUGGCCCUUACGAGUAGGGCUACACACGUGCUACAAUGGCGCAUACAAAGAGAAGCGACCUCGCGAGAGCAAGCGGACCUCAUAAAGUGCGUCGUAGUCCGGAUUGGAGUCUGCAACUCGACUCCAUGAAGUCGGAAUCGCUAGUAAUCGUAGAUCAGAAUGCUACGGUGAAUACGUUCCCGGGUCUUGUACACACCG
rnacentral:rRNA from 1 species